rnacentral:rRNA from 1 species
UACGUAGGGCGCAAGCGUUGUCCGGAAUUAUUGGGCGUAAAGCGCGUGUAGUCGGCGUGACAAGUCGGGUGUGAAAGCCCUCAGCUCAACUGAGGAAGUGCGCCCGAAACUGUCGUGCUUGAGUGCCGGAGAGGGUGGCGGAAUUCCCCAAGUAGAGGUGAAAUUCGUAGAUAUGGGGAGGAACACCGGUGGCGAAGGCGGCCACCUGGACGGUAACUGACGCUGAGACGCGAAAGCGUGGGGAGCAAACAGG